rnacentral:rRNA from 1 species
UACGUAGGGGGCAAGCGUUGUCCGGAUUUAUUGGGCGUAAAGAGCGUGUAGGCGGUUAGGUAGGUCCGUUGUGAAAACUCGAGGCUCAACCUCGAGACGCCGAUGGAAACCAUCUGACUAGAGUCCGGAAGAGGAGAGUGGAAUUCCUGGUGUAGCGGUGAAAUGCGCAGAUAUCAGGAGGAACACCGAUAGCGAAGGCAGCUCGCUGGGACGGUACUGACGCUGAGGCGCGAAAGCGUGGGGAGCGAACAGG